rnacentral:rRNA from 1 species
GAUUUCUGGUCGACGGCGCAUGAUCGGGUGUCCUCUGGGCACUCUGUAUCGUCGUCUGUUUGCCAUCCUUCCAGAGAGCUGCGCCUACCAUCUUGCAUGGCAGGGCGCUGUGAUCUGGAUCGUUUACUUUGAAAAAAUUAGAGUGUUCCAAGCAAGCUUACGCUUUGAAUACAUUAGCAUGGAAUAAUAAUUUAGGACUUUGUUUCUAUUUUGUUGGUUUCUAGGAAUGAAGUAAUGAUUGAUAGGGACAGUUGGGGGUGCUAGUAUUCAUCGGCCAGAGGUGAAAUUCUUGGAUUCGAUGAAGACUAACUUAUGCGAAAGCAUU